UAUUUCUCUCUCUCUCUCUUGCCGCCGCACUACACUUCUCACUUCCGUACCACCUGCCCUGCCUCCACCACGCAAUGGACUAAGCUUCUCUAUGUCUUCGUCCUCAGCGACUCCCUUCUGGGCCGCGACGCAUAAGUCGUCCCCAAGACUGAGUGCGUCAAAGAGCCGGCGGUGGCUGUUCUCCGCGGUUACAUCAUUUGAAGGCAUCUUCAGAUUCAGAUCUAGAUCUAGAUCUAGCGUGAGAGGCGAUGGCGGCUUCAGAUUCGACCAACACAUCGCCUGUUCUACAUCCAGCGGCGGAGGUGGCGGUAGUGACGACUUCAAAUCGACAUCUCUCCCCUCAAAAUGCUAAUGCCUUUGAAAUUAAAAAGGCUUACUACAAACUCUCGCCGAAAUAAUAAGCUCCCCGUUCUCUAUUACUCCUUAAGAGAAUAGAUAGACUUUGCCUUUGAUUUGCCCAAAGCCAAAGCGGUCAGCGUCUCCCCUCGUAGCGGGCGCCGUCAUCUCCAGCACAGCUGUGUUGUAUCAUCAAAAUAUUCGCCCAGAUGUUGCUCUCGAGUUGGCCUGGAUGAACAAUAUGAUAGACUUUGCCUUCCCUUAUCUAUUGCAGUACAAACGAAAAUGAUAGAGUUAAGACCAAGAGUGAGUAGCGGUUCCCUCUUCCUAGAGAGCCUGUUUGCGUGGUGUGUGAGAAGUAUGGGGAGUACAUUUGCAAUGAGACUGAAGAUGACAUAUGUAGCAAUGAUUGCAAAGCUUAGCUUUUUGAAAACCUUAAGCCAAGGACCAAAAGAUGAGCUUAAAGAGCAAACCAGGCAAGAGUGAAGCCCUGGAGGACCAAAC